rnacentral:misc_RNA from 1 species
UCCGGGUUGGACCCGGCGGUCCCGCCAGACAUGGUAACUGGCAGCGAGGGUUGCGCUCGUUGCGGGACUUAACCCAACACCUCACGGCACGAGCUGACGACAGCCAUGCAGCAUCUGUGCACGCUCCCUUGCGGGUCGUCCUGGUUUCCCAGUUCUACCACGUGCAUGUCAAGCCCAGGUAAGGUUCUUCGCGUUGCGUCGAAUUAAACCACACGCUCCACCGCUUGUGCGGGCCCCCGUCAAUUCCUUUGAGUUUCAGCCUUGCGGCCGUACUCCCCAGGCGGGACACUUACUGCGUUAGCGACGGCACCGGGAGGGUCGCUCCCCCCGACGCCUAGUGUCCAUCGUUUACGGCGUGGACUAC